AGUGCUCACUCCAGGCCACAGACUCCGACCGGAACUGACAGCGCGGCCUCCAGGAUUGAAGCCAUCCCUGGCUUGAAGUAGCCUAAGGAGAUUUGCUAGUUUGAGUCCUGGGAGAUGAGAUGGGGAAGAUGGGCCCAAGCUGCAACAUGAAGGUCCAUGAUGAACAGUUGGCAUCUCCUACAGUGCCUGCCACUUGGUAAUGUUCAAUGCAGCCAAGGGAGCUAAGGUAAUGAACAAAACAGAGAAGUUCCUACCCUCCCUGAUGUUCAUUCUAGCAAAUGGAGACAGAUGAUAGAAACUGCACAUCAUUGAGCAAGAGGGACACCAUGGAUAAUGGAAAGAUCUACGGCAAGGCUGGCUGUCUGCCCUGUCUAAGGAGGACGUACUGGACCAUCCUGCUCUGCACAUCCAGAUGUGUCCAUGAAUACAUCCAUAAAACGAUGGCCUGUGGAAUCCUAUAGGAAAAUGAUCCAGAGCCUGGGCGGUCAGAAGGAACAAACACUUGAUUUACAAAAUAAAUCUUCUAUGUUUAUGUUUUAAAGACACACAGAGGAAAAACAUUUUUAAAUUCAUGAUUUCCCCCCCCAGAUUUUAACUAUUGUAAUCUCUUUCUUUCCUGAGCCUUAGGCAUCUUCAUUAUAAACCAAAAGAUAUAACUUGA
rnacentral:lncRNA from 10 species